rnacentral:pre_miRNA from 1 species
UUAACUCAAACUUGUAUGGAGUUGCAACGUUUGUCUACGUUUAUCGCUAAGGGCGCUGUUCUAACUCCAUACAAAAUUCAGUUA